GUAGCAUUCAAUAUAUUUAGGUUUGCCAAAUCAUCUCCACUUUUGUUAAUAUUCAAACUGAGCUGGGCAUGGUGGCAUCUAUCCCAACCAUAGGGAUAUAUAAGACCCAGGUCAUGCCUAAUUUAAGGCAGGAGGAUUGCUUGAGCCCAGGAGUUUGAGGCCAGCCUGCUAGUGAGACCUUGUCUCUUAAAAAAAAAUUCAAAUUGAAACCUUGCUAUCCCCCAUGCAGCUCUAUGCAGUCCAUCCACCACCCCUGCCUCCAACUCCCCAAACACUACCACUGUCCUUGGGAAUUCAUGGCCCAUGACCAGUAAGACCAAAAUAAAAACAAUCCCCAUUUGCUCGCACUCCACCAUUCACCUUUUGGUCUAAUGAAAACCCACAUCUCACGUAAGGACAUAGCUUCCUUGUAGCCCUCUGAAGUGAUGGUGUCUCUCUGAAUCCUCUCAUCACUGGGCCUUCAGGGGAGGCAAGUACUCUCCUUCCUCCUCCAUAUUAUCUGCAAACAACUGUCUCUUCUUCCUUCCCAAGAUACCAGCAUCCAGCUCAGGCUAGCUGACAUCAAACCUCCCAUUCCUCCUUGCUGCCACCAUCUACAGACUUUUCUGGGUCACCCCCUACUAGAAAAUAGAAAAUAUUAGAAUUUGGUUAUUGUCAUUCUCUUCAACACAACACAUGAUUCUUAAUGAUUUCAGUAUCCCUGUAGAAAAACCUUCCAACACACUGGCCUCUCACUUCCCUGAUUUGCAGUCCUCCAGUGAUCUUCCCCCCUUUCUACAUAAGCCGCCAAUAGACAUGCUUUAGACCUUGUUGUUACCAGUAGUCUUCAUUUCAAGCAUUCUAUUCUCAACCACCUCCCAACUUUCCAUCUCACCCCCUCUAGCAUCCAGACUGUAUCAGCUCACCACCAUACUUCUAUCCCCUUGAUCUUAGCUCAUGUCCUACUCAGGACCCCACUGAGACUCAGUGGGGUGAAAUUCUAAUCAUCAGUUGCAUAUCCCUUCAAGUCCUUCCUGUUUCCCUCCAUCAGCUUCACCUGACAAAGCUAAGCCAGUCCUCCUGAAAUCCACUGGCGUCCUGUGCUGCACCCGCUCCUGCACCUUGGUGGCUGACAUCGUCAUGCUGCCUAGUUUCACCUUAGUAGUGCCUAGCAGUGCCAGGCAGUUCUGCCCAUGUCACUCUGCUUUCCCUUCUCCUAGAAGAUGAUUUAAUACCUUCUCUCAUCCCAUCUGCCGCACAUCCUCUCCACUCAAUCAUCAAUAAGAUAAACAGAAGCUGCUGCUGCUAAAUGACAUGCUGACCUAAAGUAUUAAUAUACCUUUAGCAAGAAAAAAUUGUUUGAUCAUUUAACAUAUGAUCAAAUGAAGCUAACUAGCAGAUCCAAAUUACAAAUUUUUUAUGGCACAAUAAAAUUAAUAUUAACCCAUAGUUCUCAUAGAGUUGAAGGGGUUAAAAAUGCACCAGUGGACCGAAUGCAAUAUUAACUGUCUCUAUUCCAGUUCUUGUUCCCUUUCAUGGGAAUCUGUGCUGUGAGUGAACUCUGGCUUUGGAGGUUAAUGGAGAUUCAAGGUGCCAACCUACAUUGGGUGAGAUGCCAAGACCCUGGAAAUGAGCAAAGAUCCCAAUUUUCAAGAAAGAGAGGAAGGAACUGAACCUCUUGCUAACUUGAUGUUGCCCUGAAAAUACUUUUGGUUUGAGACUGUGAGCCAGUGUGGUUGGACGGCCGUCCUGAGCAGAACUCCUGGCCAUGCGGUGCCCAUCCCACCUUAUGGUUGCUAUCAUUCACCUGACCCCUGCCGGACCGUUCCCGUUCUUUGAGGGCAUUUACGCAACUCCCCUUAACCCCGGAGACCACUCAUUCUUCCGAGCUGCCACUUCCUCGGUUCUUGCCUAUACUAUCUUGUACUGAUAAUAUCUUCCAUUAGUAUAUCACCUGUCUCACUAACUAGAUUGUACUCCCAAGAAGAAGGACUCUCUAAGUCUUCCAUCUCUAUUAAUGGGUAAGAAUUUGAUGAUGAAAACAGCUUUACAGCCCUGGCAAGACCCCAUCUCUACAAAAAAUUAAAGAAUUUAGCUGGGCGUGGUGAUGCAUGCCUGUGGUCCCAGCUACCCAGGAGGCUGAGGCAGGAGAGUUGCGUGAGCCUGGAAGCUUGAGGCUGCAGUGAGCCCUGAUGGCACCACUGCACUCCAUCCUGGGUGACAGAGUGAGACCAUGUCUCAAAAAAUAAUAAUAAUAAAAGCAAGCAGCUCUAGAGUGUGAAGCAGCUGUGGCCAGGCAGUGGGUGGGCAACAUGAACAUGGUCUGCCCUGUAUGUUGAGCUUGCGAAACCCCACUGAAACCCGACAGCUUUUCACAUGAACUGAUGAAUAUGACCUGCAGACAACAGAUAACUCAGUUGUCCCUUUCUUUGUCCUCUAACCAUCUCUCCCUGUCUCUGUCUCUUGCUCUCUGUGUCUCCCCAUUUGAACUGGGCCUUUGAACACAGGGUUGUGCAUUUGCCUCUCUUCUCCUGCCUCUCAUAUUUGUUCUAAACGUUGUCCUCUUGUGUAUUCCUUUUCUUUCUGCUGCCAUCCUGGAGUUAGGCAAACUUCCUUCUACAUAUUUUUCUGUAGAAGGAAUGUACUGAUUAAAGGGGUCAGGGAGGCAGCUGGCAAAGAUAUCAAGAGAAGUGACAUCAACAGCAUCAUACCCCACAAAACAUAACAUCUCAGGAGCAUCCUUCCUACCCCUCCCCUUUCCAAUAGCGAGUUUGGUUAAUAAUGAUUAUUGUUUUCCUUUUGUUUUGUUUUGUGUGAGAUGGAGUCUCGCUCUGUUGCCCAGGCUGGAGUGCAGUGACAUAAUCUUGGCUCACUGCAACCCCCAUCUCCCGGGUUCAAGCGAUUCUCCUGCCUCACCCUCCCACAUAGCUGGGAUUACAGGCACGUGACACCAUGCCUGGCUAAUUUUUGUAUUUUUAGUAGAGAUGGGGUUUUGACAUGUUGCCAGGGCUGGUCUCAAACUCCUGACCUCAAGUGAUCUGCCCACCUCAGCCUCCCAAACUGCUGGGAUUACAGGCUUGAGCCACCUCACCCAGUCAAUAAAAAUUAUUUUUUAAAUCUCCGUUUAAGAAGUCAGAGUGAUAAGAUUAGGGGACCUAUCUCUUCAAAUUUUUACGUAUUUUCCAAAUUCUUUAUAAUGAACUCAUAUUCCUUUUAUAAUCAGAGAAGAACAAUUUUUAAAGCAAUGUGGUACGCAAAACAUCUUCAGACUUCUAUGGAAAAUGUAAUUACCAUGAACUUGAAACCUGGACUGCUGAAAUCAUCAUCUCGGUGAUUUUAAAAAGAUGAUUGCGGUGUGCAUAGGUCGGGAACCAUUGAAAAGCACCACCCAUGUGUCAACCCGGCAACUCAGGUGAAAGCCAGCAAGGAGCAUGGACGGCUUCAUCAGAAGUUGUCAGCGAGGAGCAUGGACGGCUUCAUCAGAAGUUGACGUGACGCUUGUAAGCCAAAAAUAAAAUCCUAAGGCCUCCCAACCGUCUGCAUGGACCCCUCUUCUCUGCCAAGGGCAUUCCAGAGUUAACCUUAACAUCUAGUUCAGGCCAUGAUGGAAGAGGGAGUCAGGCCUCUUUAUAUCCCUCCAGCAUUAACAUCAAUGUAGACAUAAAGUCUGAUAAGAAACAUUGACAGUCUAUUCUCUCUGAAGCCUGAUACUUGGCGGCUUCACCUGCUUAAUAAAACCUUGGACUUAAAAAGUAAAGUCUUAAAAAGUAGAAAGUAAACCCCUUUCUACUGAUAAUAACUCUUUCAACCAAUUGCCAAUCAGAGAAAUUUUAAAUCUACCUAUGACCUGGAAGCACCCCCUCCCUUCCAGCUGUCCCGCCCUUCCAGAUGGAACCAAUGUAAAUCUUACAUGUAUGGAUUGAUGUGUUAUGCAUCCCUAACAUGUUUAAAAGCAAGCUGUACCCUGAUCCCCCUGGGCACAUGUCCUUAGGACUGCCUGAGAGUAUGUCACGGGUGCUCCUUAGCAUUGGCAAAAUAAACUUUCUUAAUUGACUGAGACUGUCUCAGAUAUUUUGGGUUCAUACCCUCAUGAAACAAGGAGAGAAUACC
rnacentral:lncRNA from 10 species